AGCGAACGCUGGCGGCAGGCCUAACACAUGCAAGUCGAGCGGGCACUCUCGGGUGUCAGCGGCGGACGGGUGGGUAACGCGUGGGAACGUGCCCUCUGGUUCGGAAUAACUCAGGGAAAAUUGAGCUAAUACCGGAUACGCCCUUUUGGGGAAAGGCUUGCUGCCGGAGGAGCGGCCUGCGACUGAUUAGCUUGGUGGUGAGGUAACGGCUCACCAAGGCGACGAUCAGUAGCUGGUCUGAGAGGAUGAUCAGCCACACUGGGACUGGGACACGGCCCAGACUCCUACGGGAGGCAGCAGUGGGUAAUAUUGGACAAUGGGCGCAAGCCUGAUCCAGCCAUGCCUCGUGAGUGAUGAAGGCCGUAGGGUUGUAAAGCUCUUUUAUCCGGGACGAUAAUGACGGUACCGGAGGAAUAAGCCCCGGCUAACUUCGUG
rnacentral:rRNA from 1 species